CCUCAACACUCUCCCCCAGCCCUGAAGCACAGGACAGCUGCACAGAGAUGCUAUUUGACUCCACUUUGUUGACUUGAACGUCAAUAGUGUCAACAACAACAGGUUGUUCCACACUGUUGCUUGAUGAUCCAUUAACAAAAUUUCCAGCAGAUGAUGCAGCGAGCUUAGCCUGCUCCUGUUUCAACAGCAUAUCUUUAUGGCAUUUGGAACACAUGUUCAUCGUGGCUGCACUUCCAAAGAAGCCACAAUUGUUAAUACACAAAAUUGGGCGUUCAGGAGGAGCUUGACAUCCUGUCUCAUCAUGGUCCAUCUUUUACCUCU
rnacentral:misc_RNA from 1 species